rnacentral:rRNA from 1 species
AGCAUCAAUGAGGGUGAGAGUCCUGUUUGUCAUGUGCAGCCUUCUGUGCACGGUGUAUAUUUGCUGAGUCACACUCCUUGGCAUUGGAAUGCAAAGUGGGUGGUAAGUUUCAUGCAAAGGUAAAUAUGCAAUUGAGACUGAUAGCGCACAAGUACCAUGAGGGACAUAUGAAAAGGACUUUGAAAAGAGAAUUAAAUGAGUUUGUAUUUGCUAAACACAAAGUAAACAGACUUGAUUUCCUCAGUGAGAUUGUAGUGCUUGCUUAACAAUGGGUUUUGGCUGCAAGUGCAAUAAUUCUUGCUUUGUGUGCCAGUUUUUAUGUGGACAUUUGAUUACCUUUGCACAUGAAUGGUAAUUUUCCUGCGGGGUGUGGAUUGCAUAUGCAUGUAAUGAUUUGCAUGUUUGUUAAAUGUGUCUGGUGUAUUUGUUUGUGUCCUUGUCCUUGAGGUUGCUUUCUCCCUUGGGCUUACAUGCCCUGGCACACACAUUCUGGCAAAAUGCUUCUGCUUGACCCGUCUUGAAACACGGACCAAGGAGUCUAACAGAUGUGCAAGUUUGAAGGUGGUAUACCUGUGUGUGUAAUGAAAGUAUUGGCUGGGAUAUUUGCACCAGCAGCCGACUAAUUAGCAGACAGAGGUUUGAGUUGGAGCAUAUCUAUUAGGACCCGAAAGAUGGUGAACUAUGCUUGAACAGAAAGAAUUCAGAGGAAACUCUGAUGGAGGUUCGUAUCGAUACUGACGUGCAAAUCGUUCGUCAUAUUUGGGUAUAGGGGCGAAAGACUAAUCGAACCAUCUAGUAGCUGGUUCCCUCCGAAGUUUCCCUCAGGAUAGCUGGAGUUGCACAGUUUUAUCAGGUAAAGCGAAUGAUUAGAGGAAUUGGGGACAGAUGUGUCCUUGACCUAUUCUCAAACUUUAAAUGGGUAAUAUGUAGUGGUUGCUUGAUGGAACUUCUAAAAUGAAUGGCAAUAUUAGGUGGGCCAUUUUUGGUAAGCAGAACUGGCGAUGAGGGAUGAACCUAAUGCUGGGUUAAGGGGC